AUCAGUACCUGUACAGCUGAAGAAGCAGAAAAAUAAGACGGACAUACUGACUUGAAGGAAGACUGAUAACCCCGUUGAAAAAACAGCACAUGCUGGUUAGAGUUUGAAACGAGGAGCUUUGGGUUACCGCCAUCUAUCUGGAACACACCACCACAUCUUGUCAGUUAAUACAGAUCCUACGAGCAUGAGACAAAUACACAAAACUGAGAAGAUAUGGGGGUGUCCCACAUUACACAUGGACUUGGAAGAUGAUUCUGGUUGUCAAUGGAUCCUUUUCACAUUUUCGGGAUUCUCAGAAGCGGAAGUCAUCAUAGUUGGGAAAAUUUCUAUAGUGGUGAAGGGAAAAUAUAAACAUAUAUUCCCCUCUAUGACUUUAAAAGAGGGGAAAAAUUUUUGAUAGACUGAUAAUUGUUAGAAAAAAUGUCAUGUGUUGUCACUCUCUCAGCCAUUGUAUUAUAAACACUUACACAGCAGUGUUAACCAGUUUUUUUUUUCUUUUUUUUUUCUUCAUUUAAUGCCAAGGUAGUACAACACAGUACAAGUAUAGUGCUAUAAAUGUAGAUGAAAGGGGUCAUGAACUGAGAAACCAAAAUUGCCUUGAUCUUUUGAAAUGUAUGAGGUGAUUGUACUAUAAAAACAUCCUGUAAGUUUCAGAACUCAGAACUUUUCAUCAGUCUACAAACAGCUCCUAUUGAAGCCAAUCGACCAAAACGACAGCUUUUAGAAUGUUCUAUACUCUAUGAUGUAUUAGUGUGGCUAAGCACCGCCUCCACAGUAGAAGUUCAAUGCCUGCUUCGAC